rnacentral:rRNA from 1 species
GCUAGCAGCCAUAUCACCCUGCAACUCACAUCUGGCAACCUGCUGCUGCUAAGCAGGUGUGAGCCUGGUCAGUACCUGGAUGGGAGACCUUGUGGGGAAAAACUAAGGUUGUUGCUGGAA